rnacentral:rRNA from 1 species
AUUGAACGCUGGCGGCAGGCCUAACACAUGCAAGUCGAACGAGUGGCGGACGGGUGAGUAAUGUCUGGGCAACUGCCUGACGGAGGCGGCAAAGGACUGGAACCGGUAGCUAAUACCGCAUACCAUCGGAUGUGCCCAGAUGGGAUUAGCUAGUAGGUGGGGUAAAGGUUCACCUAGGGGACGAGCCCUAGCUGGUCUGAGAGGAUGACCGGCCACACUGGAACUGAGACACGGCCCAGACUCCUACGGGAGGCAGCAGUGGGGAAUAUUGCACAAUGGGCGCAAGCCUGAUGCAGCAAUGCCGCGUGUAUGAAGAAGGCCUUCGGGUUGUAAAGUACUUUCGGCGGGGAAGCGUUACCCGCAGAGGAAGCACCGGCUAACUCCGUGCCAGCAGCCGCGGUAAUUC